UACGUAGGGUGCAAGCGUUAUCCGGAAUCAUUGGGCGUAAAGCGUACCGAUAGGUGGUUUUGGUAGUUUUGGGUAAAAGCCAGAAGCUCAACUUCUGCGUUUGCUCAAAAUACCCCAAGACGUAGAGGGACAAAGAGGUGGCUGGAACGAAUGGUGUAGUAGUGAAAUGCGUUGAUAUCAUUCGGAACACCGAAAGCGAAGGCAGGCCACUGGGUGUCACCUGACACUGCUAGGACGAAAGCGUGGGGAGCGAAUGGG
rnacentral:rRNA from 1 species